rnacentral:rRNA from 1 species
CGCGUAGGUGGCCUCUGUAAGGCCGUGGUGAAAGUCCGGGGCUCAACCCCGGAUCUGCCGCGGCGACUGCAGGGCUUGGGCACCGUAGAGGCAGAUGGAAUUCCGGGUGUAGCGGUGGAAUGCGUAGAGAUCCGGAAGAACACCGGUGGCGAAGGCGGUCUGCUGGGCGGUGGGGGCGCAAGCCCCUCUUAGCCGACACUGAGGCGCGACAGCGUGGGGAGCAAACA